UUCAACCCUCAGCUCCUGAGGAGAGGGCUGGCUGAAGGCAGGCGCUUCCCUUACAACUCCUGCCUGAAGGCCAAAUCCUGAUAUGCCCUGAGAUGGUGACAUUCCCCCCCCACCUUACUCGCUCAGUUUAUUUGUGUUAGUUCCCCUUGCUUUUUGUUCAUAGACUACCCUGGAAGGGGAGAGGUUUUGAAGUGAUGUGGCCAGUGGGCCACGUCACAGGAAGAGGCAGGCCACUGCAGAUGUGGGGCACUCAAUAGCAGCAGAUGCCAGUGCUGAGACAGCUGCUAUGCCACACCUACUCAUGAGGAGAUGCUACUGAAAAGAAGUCAUGGGAGAGAAGAGAUGCGUAUAAUGGCAAUUAGGUCACCAAACUUGCUUCCAUCAAAGAGGGAAUUCACAGCACUGCAGAGACAAGUACAUGGCUCUCCUGGCACUGAGAUAGCAGCAGCCACCAGCAACUCUCACUAUGACCCAGAGGCAGCACAGACCUGUUCCCUGACCCCGAGAGCAGGUACACAGGACACCCCAACAUGAGCUGCCCCUUCACUCUGCACAGAAGACAGGAGGCUCCUGGUCCUGAGUAGCUUGCCCGAGGUGGAGGGGUAGGAGCAGCGGUGGUUGCAGACAGCAGUAGAGCAGAGCAGUGGGAGGAGGAGGAGGAAGAGGAGGAGGAGGAGGGACCUCCCUGAGCACAGCACCCUGGUGGUGGCCCAUCCUGCUGACCCCAAAGGCUGGCCCUGCUCCUGAGCCAGCAGCAGCAGCAAACAGGCGUUCCCUGAUCCCAGCUCAGCAGC